CACAAGUUCAGCUUGCCUAAUUUUGGACAUAUGCAUGUGUGAAGAGAUGGGCUCUGGUGCUCAUUGGUCCCAAGUCCCAACUGAUGACCCCAAUAAUAAUUUUAGCUACUUGGCAACACCUAGCUCCUUUUAGUAUAGAGUUCUUCGAAGCAGAUAAAAAUUGAUAAUAAUAUUAAUCACUUAGCGGAAAUAAAAUAGAUAUUAACUUCUAUUAAUAGUAAAAUUAAGGGGUAAAAGAAUAACACCUAUACUGAGACCCGGAAAAAAUUGAACAAUCUUUGGAAGUACUUAAAGAAAUACAUAAAGGGGGUGAAAUAUUGUAAAAACACCAAAGUGUCAGGGGUAAGUGUAAACUAUGAAAGAAGAGUAUCAGUGUGUGUAUUGAUUAAUUUACAGAAGAAUACUAGACCCUGUGACUUGCAAUAAGAAAAUAUUGACAGAGAUGGUUAGAAGGCAGCAAUACAUUCCCUUGGGCUUCUUCUGGAUGGAUAUGCAUGGGGGUUUCUUCUCUUGUAAUCAUGACUCCCCUUCAUCAUUACACUUCUUGAAUCUAACAAUCUCCUCUCCCUCUCUCUCAGAGCCUACAGGCCACCAUGUAAUAUACCACAUUCACCCAUAACUAACCAUAACAUUCAGCUAUUUAUACCAAUCCCUCUACAAGUUCUAAUUCUACUCAAUCCUUGUAAUAUAUACUUCCUAUUCGAUAAAAUUGAACGAUGGGAAGCGCAAAACAGCUUUAAAAACUGGGAAGAUGUGUAUCGGAAGUACCUCCUCCGGAUGGACUUCGUCGUCCUUCUCUUUGUACAAAAGAAAAGCAAGAUCCAAAAGAUACAGGAUUCAAGUUCAUAGGCUUAACAGGAGAAAGAGAAGUAGAGAUGAUAUGAAAGAGAAGAACUUGAAGCUGUACAUGGAGAACAUUACUAUCUUUCAUGAGAAUGAGAAGCUGAGAAUGAAAGCUAGUCUUCUACACCAAGAAAACCUAAGCUUGAUGUCUGAGUUUCAGAAGAAAAAACCCUCUCAUCAGCACCAAUGCGUAUCCUCCACCCUAAAUUCCCCAACUUACCACCAAGACUGAGUCCCUAGCUAGAAUCGUUUCAUUGCUUUGCAUUAUUAUUAUUGAUCUACUCAUCAAGCUGCUAUUCAAUAAUUAAUGUUAAUCUUAAUAAGAAGAUGUACUUUAAUGGGUGGGAAGAGAUCAAGGUGCAGAGCCGUAGUUCAUUGUGGAAGUCGCAGUGGAGGAGUACUACCACAUAUUCUGUCGUGUACAUCCUUUUAAGAGUAUCAAAUAAUAUUGAGAGCUCUAGAGCUCUACAAGACUCACUAGUCUUUGACAAAGGCAUAACUCUAGUUAUUUUUUCAGAAUGUGUUGUUUAAAGUAACCACCUUCCUUGUUUAAAUAAUUUCUCUUCUGUAAUCCGUAGACACAUCAUACACUAAUAAACUCACAUCUCUUGAUCCCAA